rnacentral:rRNA from 1 species
AUUGAACGCUGGCGGCAUGCCUUACACAUGCAAGUCGAACGGCAGCGCGGGGCAACCUGGCGGCGAGUGGCGAACGGGUGAGUAAUAUAUCGGAACAUACCCUAGAGUGGGGGAUAACGUAGCGAAAGUUACGUUAAUACCGCAUACGCACUAAGGUGGAAAGUGGGGGAUCUUCGGACCUCAUGCUCAUGGAGUGGCCGAUAUCUGAUUAGCUAGUUGGUGAGGUAAAGGCUCACCAAGGCGACGAUCAGUAGCUGGUUUGAGAGAACGACCAGCCACACUGGAACUGAGACACGGUCCAGACUCCUACGGGAGGCAGCAGUGGGGAAUUUUGGACAAUGGGGGGCAACCCUGAUCCAGCAAUGCCGCGUGAGUGAAGAAGGCCU